CCCACUCCCAGGGCACCAUAUUGAUGCCGAAC
rnacentral:piRNA from 1 species